rnacentral:rRNA from 1 species
CCUACGGGAGGCAGCAGUCGGGAAUAUUGCGCAAUGGAGGAAACUCUGACGCAGUGACGCCGCGUAUAGGAAGAAGGUUUUCGGAUUGUAAACUAUUGUCGUUAGGGAAGAAAAAAGACAGUACCUAAGGAGGAAGCUCCGGCUAACUACGUGCCAGCAGCCGCGGUAAUACGUAGGGAGCAAGCGUUAUCCGGAAUUAUUGGGUUUAAAGGGUGCGCAGGCGGAAGAUCAAGUCAGCGGUAAAAUUGAGAGGCUCAACCUCUUCGAGCCGUUGAAACUGGUUUUCUUGAGUGAGCGAGAAGUAUGCGGAAUGCGUGGUGUAGCGGUGAAAUGCAUAGAUAUCACGCAGAACUCCGAUUGCGAAGGCAGCAUACCGGCGCUCAACUGACGCCCAUGCACGAAAGUGUGGGUAUCGAACAGGAUUAGAUACCCGAGUAGUC